GAAAUCACUUGUUCAGCCCCUCCACCUCCAGGAAGAAACAGGUCAAAAGAAGUAAUGAAUACACCUGCUUUCCUAUACCAAUCAUGACCCCUUCUACGCCAGCAGGUCUUUCCAAACCAACAUCAUUUUGUCUGACAGGAUCCAAUGUGGUUGGCGCGGAUCUCCCCAUUGCAGAAAAUCCAUACUUAGCAAUGUCAUUGUACCUUUAGUUAAAAUAAAAUUGUAGAUUUGGAUAAUCACAUAGUAGAAAUUAGAAAAAGAAAGGCAUCGGGAAGUGGAAAUGUAAAGACAUACAGAUUUUUAAACAAAAUACCAUAUUAAAAACUAUAGUCACUCCAAUCCUGAUAACCACUAAAGGAUCAUGGUGACCUCCAAAACUUCAAACAUUCUGCAUUGCAAGAUAUAGAUGUAUACCUUACCUGGGCUCAGUUCAUACCUAUGGUGGUUAAAACAGAAUCAAGUAAAUAAUUUUACUUAUUCUAUUUUUAUUUUCUUUGCAUAACAAAUCCUAUAAACACAAAAAUAACGUAAAUAGCUCAAAAAUAUAAGGAACUAACUAAGAAAAGACGAGUGAAUUCGAAGUAAAAAUAUAUAUAAAUAUCAUCCGAUCAAAUACCCCCACACUUAACUUUUGCUAGUCCUCGAGCAAAACAAAGAAAACUAGAACAAGAAGUAACAAGAAAAACAUUAGCUUCCCCCUAUGUGACCCUCAUAGAAUUUCAUUCGAGAAAACAAAUCAUCAAGAACCAUAGCUAGCAUCAAGGAAAUAAUCCAAGUUCAUCUUCCUUAUUCAAAUAUUAGCAGUAAUCUUUAAAUCAUCCUUGAAGUGUAGUGUGUGAGAUAGCCAUGCUAAUGCAAUUUCAAGUUUUUAUUUUUAAAAUCAUCAUAUGCAAACUAGCGACCUUCUCACGGGAUAUGCACUCAAUCACACAUGUGUUUAGUUUUAAUGUGUUUCGCUCAAAGAAUCAAAUUGUGAAAUUUCUACCAUAAGCUUGCAUAAAGAUCACUUCUCCACAGUCAUAAUUGCAAAAACUUAAAUCAAGAGGACUUUUAUUGGAUGUAAUGAGGCUUAGGGAUAGGGUUAUUGAAAUGAAAGAAUAGGAAAACACAAGUUCCAAGCUAUAUUGCAAGCAAUUCUUUUGUUUAGAUUUAUAAGAACUCAAUUUUUUCAGCGAUUCUUCUAGCACCUCCAACCAUACCCUUAAACUGAAACUUUAAAAACUUUUUAUUUUCUUUGAAUACAAUCUUUCUUUUUUCUUUUUUUUUUUUUUUUUUUUUUUUUUUUUUUUUUUUUUUUUUUUUUUUUUUUUUUAAAUGCAAACAUGAAAUACCCCCACACUUAUUCUUUUGCCAAACACCUUCAAAGUACUUCACAAACAUUUCUCAUAAGACAAUCUCGCAUUGCUCGCUUGGAAAGGGUAAGGAAAAAUGUUUCCGGUAUAAGGGUAGACAUAUAUGGUGAUAAGAAAUAAAAGGCUCAACAUACACGGCUCAAAUUGGCAAUCUAAUGAUAUCAUUUUUCUUUGGGAAACAUGGUUAUUUGGGCCAUGGUGGUAAACCUAAUGCCUCUAUCAUUUCCAAGUUCAUGCAAUCAAUGACAAACAUUUCGAAAGAUCGUUACGCAAGUUCUAGAGAUGUAUCUCACAUAAGUUCAUCACACAUGAAAGAAUAGGAGUGUAUGAAAAAUGCACACUUUCAAUAGGCUCAAAAACUCACAUAGGAUGUAUAUGGUCACUAAAUUCACAUAUGAAGCUUUAAGUCAUACUUUAGUUUCACAUUAACAAGGCUAUGUGCAUUUGGUUUUUCAAAGAUGGUCAAACAUGUACAAAACUAACAAGAGAAUUAGGAAUUUCACCAAACACAUGUUAACUAAGUUCUUGAUGAUCAUGGUUCAAAUUUUUGAUCCAAUUAUAUCAUUGGGUCGGGAAACUAAUAAAAAUCUGAUUCAGAACAAUAAGGGAAACAAGACAAUAUUUUUGGAUUUUUAAAUUUUCCGAUUUUUUUUUUAUUUUUUAUUUUUAUUUAUUUUUUUUUUUUUUUAAGAAAACAAAAACUAACAACACAGAAACAAAUGAAAUUCUAGAGAUUUCUACCCCCACACUUAAACUUGACAUUGUCCCCAAUGUCAGAAAACACUAUAAUGCAAAAAAAAAAUAAAAUAAAAUAAAUAAAUAAUAAGAAACAAAAUAACGCAAUUGGACUGAAAACUUCCCUAAUUUGCAGUAAAAUCAAGCGAUGACCCCCAAGCUAAAAUUCUGCAAUCAACUUCAAGGGUGGAAAUAACCAAAAGUUCCUGCAAAGAAAAGGAAAAAUUCAGUUAAGUACGCAAGAAAAUUAAUUAAAAAAAAAUUGCAAACGAAAAAUUGAAAAUUACGAUAAAAGAUAAUGAAUAAAACUAAUAAGUAAUCAUUGGUCGUGCUUGUUGACUUUCCACAGCUUUCCUCUUGAACAGGGUGACACUUAGCUUUUCACUUGCAAGUGAUGAUUUUAUGAUAUUGUACGGCGAAGCUUUGCUCUUUGGUUAUGUUGCAGUUCCUUAUUUGUUCUCCAAGCAGAUGUGGCAACUUCUCUAGUUCCUCAGUUCGGACUCCUUCCGCUGGGAUGAUUGUGCAAGCUGCAUUCUUCUCUGCUUGUUUCUUCUGCACAACGGGCAGGCACGAGGGAAAGGUGUUGGUCCUUAUUUCUUUCUUCAAUCUUUCCAAGUGCCCACCUCUUGCUUUCUUUCUCCUUGUCCCUAGCUGAAUUUGUCUCCACAUGCUUCGAGGUAUCAUUUUCACUUCCCUUACUGUCCCCCAGGCAGAUGUGGUAGACGAAGAGAAAGCAUAAAAUGAUGAAGAUGAGUACUCGAGAGCAAGGCUAGGUAAGCAAUCAGGAAGGGGUUCCAGGCAGUUGGCUCCAGAUCGGAAGAUUGAUACCAAAUGCUGGCUGAUUGCUCUCUUUCUCCUUGUCGGAAAACAAAGACAAGGAGAAGGACAUGGAGAAAGCAUGAUAUGAGAUACUCUUGCUUUCAACCUUUAUGAUAUGAAAUACUUUUGCUUUGAAUGGGUUGUUCGCAGGAGUAUCCCAAGGAAUGAGGAACACAGAGUGACUCGAGAGGAUUCUUUGGGAAUGCAUUUUCGGAGAUGAAGAGGUGUUGAGAGGGUGUGCUGAGAGAGUGUGCUUUUGCUGUGGAAGGCGAAGGUAGAAACUUAUAGGACUUGUCUUCACAACCGGAACUGUUCUCUCACCUAGUGUCGGCAGCCGGUGGAUGGGUGAAGAAUACAAAUUACGCGCUUUCUGACAAAGCUGCCCGUAAUUUCCGCAAAGCUGAUUCCUCAUUGAUAUCUGUAAUCGGCGCUUCGAGCUCUGAGCAUCGUCGAUUGUAGAGGUAGCAUGUGACACGUGCGGAUAAAUCUGGAAAAGAAGAUUUUCCCGUGGGUUGAAGCCCAGCUUUUGAGAAAGCUAGCGUGUCUUUGACUGUUGAAUUUCCCUCUUCGAUUUCUGAAUUGGUGCUUCGACAAAUUGCCCGAGAUUUCCGCAAAGCAAUUUGCGUGUGACAAGUGACGACACGUCUGGACAAAUUGAUCUUUUUGAAAUCCGGGGUUCGGCUCGUGGUUUCUGAGCAAGCCCAGCCUUUAAGAAAUGAAACGCCUCUUUUGAGAAAAGAAUCCGGCUUUUGAGAAAGGAAACUCCUCUUUUGAGAAAAGAAUCAGACGUUUGAGAACGGAGCCCCGACUCUUCGAUUUGCGAGAGGACGCUUCUCUGAGGAGUGCCUCUUUGAUUUCUUCCUUUUUAUAGAGACGUUAAGCUUGUUCCACAACACACUUGAGUACCCUCCUGUAAACACUCCCUUCUUGCACUUGUUUAAUCUUGAUCAUUCCGACUCUCUUCUUUCUUUACCACCUCUGAAAAAUGUCUGGCCCUUCUGAUCGUCGUUUUGACUUGAACAUUGGUGAAGAGGCAGCUCCGCCUUCACCAGACAACAUAUGGAGGCCAUCCUUCAUAUCCCCUACCGGUCCCCUUACCGUGGGGGAUUCGAUGAUGAAAAAUGACAUGACCGCUGCGGUGGUGGCCCGAAACCUUGUCACUCCCAGAGAUAACAGACUGCUCGCAAGGCGGUCUGAUGAAUUGGCGGUCAAGGAGUCUCUGGCUCUCAGUGUGCAGUGUGCGGGUUCCGUAUCCAACAUGGCCCAACGCCUAUAUGCCCGAACCCGUCACGUUGAAUCCUUGGUGGCUGAAAUACAGAGUCUCAAGCAAGAGAUUAAAGGGCUCAAGCAUGAGAAUAAGGAAUUGCACAAGCUCGCACACAGCUAUGCCACCAGCAUGAAGAGGAAGAUUGACCAGAUGCAGGACACUGAUGGUCAGAUUUUACUUGAUCACCGAAGGUUUGUGGGUUUGUUCCAACCGCAUCUGCCUUCGUCUUCUGGGGCGACACCGCGUAGUGAAGCUCCAACUGAUCAACCUCAGAUACCUCCUCCUUCCGUGGCCCCGCCGACUGCUGAAGCUCCGCCGACUACUGAAGCACCACCUGACCAAUGAAUGCUAUUAGUUCACACAUCAUUGUAAAAUAUUUUUUAAGUUUAAGUUUUUUUUUUUUUUUUUUUUUUUUUUUUUCAUGAAAAAGAAUGUAAGAAUAUCUUGCAUAUCUAUCAAUGUUUCAAAAAAUAAACCCACACCCAAAAAUAAUUAAAUAAACAAAAAUAAAAUAAAAAAAUAAAAAAAAUGACAAUCAUGGCAAAAUAAAAAUGCAGAAAAGUGAAGGUUUUUAGAAACACAAAACUGAUUGUAGAGCGAUUCAUAGAUCUUCCUUUUUUUUGAAUACAUGGGUUGCCUCCCAAAAAGCGCUUUCUUUAACGUCUUGCAGCCGGACGAUACUUCCUUCUAAACUUGGAUAGGGCCCAUAGCAUGGAAUUGAUCCUUGAAUGGACGGUGAUACUUGACGUGAUCCGGCAAUGGUUUUAAAUUCUAGUGUAGGUGCCUGAAUCAUCAAAAUCAACAAGUUAGUAUAUACUAAAAUCGAAAUUGGAGAAGAUGGCUUACUUGCUUUGUCCGACAAGAACUCAAUGACAAACACCACAUUUUUGAAAGUUUCAGGGAUAUUGGACUUGGCCAGGUUUACUAUGAUGGUUGUGGCUUGUCCCGUGUCAUCAAACUCAACUGCUUUGGGCUUGAUUGUCUCAUGCACAGCCUCUUGGAUGUAUUCUUGAUAUGCUUCAACCACUUCAUUCUCUUGAAUCCCUUUUCUUGGUGUGCAAGGUUCUUUGAACGUUUCAAUACCAUCGGGAACUUGUUUUGGUGCACCAAGAAUUGAGAUAUCACUUUGCACUUUUGGAAGAGCUUCCACAAUGUCUUUUUCACUCUCUUUGAUAUUUGGAAUCAAAAACCUGCAAGGACAAAGGACAUUCGGUGGAAUAAUGUUAGAAUGAAGUGAAUUUAGAACUUCCUCACCUGAGUUGGAUGACAUAGGGAUUUGAGGAGCUUGCAGCAAGAAUUCUUCUAAACUGCCCAGGUCGUCCUCCUCCUCUUCUGCUUGCAGCAGCAAUUCAUCCAUGUUCGGGCUGUGUUUGGAUGGUUCUGGGACAGCUUCAUCCUUCAAGUCACCUUGCUCUUGAAUUUGUACCAUGAAUUCCAUAAUCUCUCCCAUUUGACUCUUCAAUUCUUCCAACUCCUUCUCUUGAUUUUGUUGGUCAUGCGUCAAAGAAGUUAGUACAUCAAGAAUUUGAGCACAAUCUAUUGACGAACCUGAAUUUGAUUGGAAUUGUUGCGGGGCAGGUUGUGGUGGCUGAGCAGGGCUUGAAUAGAACUCAUUAUAUGGCUGCCAAUAUCCUUCGUGUUGAACUGGUUGAGGUUCCCACCACAUAGUGUUUGAAUGAUCCCUCCAAUCUGAACUAUACGUGUUGGAAAACAAGUUGUUCAUUGAUUGAUUAUGAUCAUGAUAACUCUCCCAACUCCUUUGUGGAUGUUGAUCUGCUUGAUAUCCUUGCGUAUAGGACACAUCGAAUGUAGGGGUGCUUUGUAUUGUGGUCCUUUCGAUGUACUGUGACAAUUGAGAAGUAAGAAUUGCCAUUUGAGCUUGAAGAUUAGCAAUUGCCAUGUCUUACUUCUUUUAGUACCUGAUAUCAAAGAAAUAAAACUAAAUCAAAUAUCAUAAGUAAACAAAACAGGGUAAUUAUAAAAAAAAUAAAAUAAAAAAAUAAAAUAAUAAUAAAAAUAAAAAAUAAAAAUAAAAAAUAAAAAAUAAAAAAAAAACUAAACAAUUUAAACAAGACUUAAGACAAGGGAUUAGCAACUUUGCUAAUCCCCGGCAACGGCGCCAAAAUUUGAUGCGUGAAAUUACUUGACACACAAAUUAAACCCUCUUUUUGACAAUUGUAGUAUGGAUGUAAGUAGGGUAUCGUUCUAGGCCGGGGAUUAGGAGGGAUUGCUAAUCUAUUCUAAAUUAAUUUAAAAAUAUUAAAUAAGACUCAAGGACACAAAACUAGGCUAAAAACUCUAAUAACUGGAAACACACUUAGAAUGACUCAAAAUAAUGAAAAUAAUCAAAUUAAACACUAGGAACUGAAAUUGACGGAAAUCGAAUUAAAAGACUAACAACAAUGAAAACUAACUAAAUAAUAUAAUUUAAUAAUGGAAGGGUGUUUGGUUUUUACUAGAAAUAAAUUAAACUUAAAUAAAUUACAGAAUUGACAAAAACAUGAAAUUAAGGUGAAAGGAUAGGUGAUGGAUUAGCUAGAGGGUUUUUUCUCCACACAUGACACAUAUGCAACCUAAAUUGAUUUUCAGUUGUUCUUUCAAUAAAUUGUGAAUCUCAACACUUCAGAUUAACCGUGAAUAGCACUUUUUUAAUCUUCAAGUUUUCCUUAAGUUAUUGAAUUGGACAGGAAAACGCAUACAACAAUUCAAAACAUUCUUCAAAAGUCCCCUACGUGAAAAGCACAAUAGAGAUACAAUCAAAGAUCAUUAAACUUUGUGAAAACUAUAAGCAUUGACGAGGCAUUCGUAACUAUGAAAAGCAUGAUACUCUUGCCAAGAAUUCACUUAACACGAUUGUGGAUAACAACCUUCACUACUUGUGAAUAUAAGUUCAUAACGAUUAGGUGAAAUUCACUUAUAUUCUAGCAUCAAAUUCAUGCAUGUAAAUUAAGUAUGCAUCCUUAAUCGACAUACAAAAAUAAGUUAUCAAUCAAGCAGUUAAGCAAAUUAAAUCACAACUCAGAAAUCACAACUGAAGGUAAUCAAUUCAUAUUACAAAUAUAUUCAUGGCUUUGAAUUGACCUCUAGCCAAAAUAAGUUUAUUUACACAUUAUUAAAACAGAAAUAAAAAGAGGAGUUUGGAAAGAUUAAACCGAAAGAGGAUCUGCUGCGUUCGUGCCCACUUCUCUCUCCCCCUGCCCGCGUCAGUCUUCCUUGCGUCAGUCUCAGCUGCAAGGGCAGCUUCCCCCGUGCUCACCUCUCUCCAUACUCACCAUGCCGUGCUCACCUUUGGACUGCUUCUUUCCCCGCGCCUGUCCUGCCCUCUCUAGUCCGUGCCUUCCUUCUCCUCUGCGCAGUCCUCGGGCAGCUUCCCGUGAUUCCCCCCACGCCUGCCUUCUUGUUUCUGCCUUGUCUUCUUUCACCCCGCCUGUCCUGCCCUCUCACCUGCCCUCUGACCUCUCUCCUGCUUCUCCCUUUUUCGCUGCCAAAGGCAGCGUUUCUUAUCUUGAUUUUCUGCUCCUCACUUCUAACCUCAGCCUUCUUUCCUUUUUUUUAUUCCCUCCCGUUUUUCACGGUCUCUGCCCUCUACUUUCCUUUUUGAAGAAAUCACUUGUUCAGCCCCUCCACCUCCAGGAAGAAACAGGUCAAAAGAAGUAAUGAAUACACCUGCUUUCCUAUACCAAUCAUGACCCCUUCUACGCCAGCAGGUCUUUCCAAACCAACAUCAUUUUGUCUGACAGGAUCCAAUGUGGUUGGCGCGGAUCUCCCCAUUGCAGAAAAUCCAUACUUAGCAAUGUCAUUGUACCUUUAGUUAAAAUAAAAUUGUAGAUUUGGAUAAUCACAUAGUAGAAAUUAGAAAAAGAAAGGCAUCGGGAAGUGGAAAUGUAAAGACAUACAGAUUUUUAAACAAAAUACCAUAUUAAAAACUAUAGUCACUCCAAUCCUGAUAACCACUAAAGGAUCAUGGUGACCUCCAAAACUUCAAACAUUCUGCAUUGCAAGAUAUAGAUGUAUACCUUACCUGGGCUCAGUUCAUACCUAUGGUGGUUAAAACAGAAUCAAGUAAAUAAUUUUACUUAUUCUAUUUUUAUUUUCUUUGCAUAACAAAUCCUAUAAACACAAAAAUAACGUAAAUAG
rnacentral:lncRNA from 1 species